rnacentral:rRNA from 1 species
GACGAACCGAGCGAACGUUGUUCGGAAUCACUGGGCUUAAAGGGCGCGUAGGCGGGCGGUCAAGUCAGGGGGUGAAAGCCUCCAGCUCAACUGGAGAAGUGCCUCUGAUACUGGAUGGCUUGAAUUCGGGAGGAGGGAUGCAGAAUUCCAGGUGUAGCGGUGAAAUGCGUAGAUAUCUGGAGGAAUACCGGUGGCGAAGGCGGGUCGCUGGGCCGAAACUGACGCUGAGGAGCGAAAGCGUGGGGAGCGAACAGGUUAGAUA